AUACUUUUUGCCCGUGCACGGUCGACUAGAAAAGAGAAGCGACCGAGAGAAGGAUCGAACGAGUGAAGUUGAGAGGAAAAGGGUGUUCGGAUGGGUUGGCGAGGAGAGAAGCGUGUGCGUGCGAGGCCUUAAGGAGCAGGUACAGACGAGAAAAGUAAUGGCAGUCGUUCGGAAGGAAGGAAUAAAUAAUCACAGAUGAUCUCUCUAGCUAUUUCGAACAAUUCACUAUGGAAGGUGGCUCUCGACGAAAGAAGUUUUAGCAAAACAAAUUAUAUAAUAUCUCGUACGAUCACCGUGAAAGAAAGAAAGAAAGAAAGAAAGAAAAAAGACGCGAGGAGAAUUCCGUAUUUUGCAAAUAAUUAUGGAAGAUGAUUCACUGAGAACCGUGUCAUUGUCAACAAGACUACCUGCCGAUUGCGUCAUCCGUAUGCGAAUUAAUUUCGCAACUUCCCAUUAUAAUCUUAAUGCUUUUCGGUAGGUCCGAGUUUAAUGGGCACGCAUCCGUUCGUCGACUUCGACCCCGUUUACCGAUUCCCAAAAUAGAGCCGUAAAGGUGUAAUCGACGUAACAAGGAUUUACAUUAGCGAACCCUUAUAUCUGCGAACGAUCUGCAUCGGCUCCACGUGCGAUAUUCCCUACGGAACGAUCCAGACUAUUCUCGUCUCCCCGUGUUGCUCGAAGAACCUAAGGUCGUCUCGAUAUCCGCGGACCAAAUUUACAUUCUAUCCGCAGCGAUAGAAUCAUCGGCAAAAGAGAAGCGGAGAUAUCGCGUACGCCUCGCAAAACUGGACUCUGCUUGCGAAAUCGAGGCGUUCGGGGUCGAAUAAAAAUUGUUCAGAUUCCGAUGGAAACCGUAGAUAGGAAUCGUAAAGAGGGGUGGCGCCGCGCCGAUUCCAACGCAACGACACAAAGACCACCAAAGGAAGAAGAAAAGAAAAGAAGAAGAAGAAGAAGAAGAAGAAGAAGAAAAAAAAUGAUUUAUUUCAAUUCUCUAUCACGGUUGUGCGUCCAAUUGUGGCGCGAGAAGAGGAUCAUUCGCGCGAGACCACACGCACAAUGAAACAAGAAGAAACUCAAUUACUUCGAGGAAUUAUCGGACCCCUCCUCCUUUUGUGGCGUGCGGCUUUACGAUCGAAUUCUGACGCGGCGUUUUGCGUUUUCGCAGGUACGGCUGACGGACAACGAAGAAGAAGAAGAAGAAAAAAGGAGGUCAACGAGGAGUGGGAGGAGGAGGAGAGACAAGAAGAAAAAGGGUGUUAAGGGAUCAUCUGACCGACGACUAUUCACCGAGCACGGCUAUGACAAAUCUAAUAGAUUCUUGGCGACUUAGGGUGCCACCACCAUAAGAGGGAGCACAAAAAAGAGAAAGGAACCGAGAAGAAGAGAAGGAGGAAGGUGGAGGAGUAUUUCUAUUCAACGUUCGAUGAACGGAUGUAACGCUUCGUAGAACCUUCGCUUGGUCCCUUUUAACAAUGAUAUCCUUUUCUCUAUGCGACCAACAGGGAGAGAGAGAGAGAGAGAGAGAGAGAGAGAGAACAGAGAAAUAAAGUCAAGCCCAACGUCAAGCUCACCUAGAACGCUCUCAGACGAUCGCACAAUGCUCAUUGUCGGUCCAACGUAGGAAUGCAGGGUGUUCGGUAUUGUCGGCGCACGCCAAAUAUAUCCCUCUCCUUUAACCACCCAACCUCCUCUGCUCGAGCAUUAUUCCAUUUCUUCUCUCUCUCUCUACCAUCUAUCAUGCUUCGUUUUCUUAUUGGCCUGCAUAUUAGCUUCUUCCUCCCUUACCCUCCGUUGAUUAUUGUCCACCCGUUCCAUCGUUCGCGCGGGACUUACGUACAUUGAUCUUCGUGGUUGUGACAACCAUUCUUUUUAUUCUUCUUUCUUGUUUCUCGAAUAUUCUCAAAACGAAUUCGGACAACCCUAACGUAUCGUCGUAUUUCUAAGGAACGAUGAUGAACACUUCGAAGAUUAUUUAUAGAACUCUGCCUAACAGGUUUUAUAAUUAACGUUGAAAAAAAUUACUAAUAAAAAAAAAAAAUAUCUCUUCCACGAGGAAAAAUAAAAUGUUGAAAAAUAAUGUAAUAAUUUUUGAAGGAUAUUAAAUCGACUUCCAUCUCAUCGAGCUUGUUUGGUGCAUUCGAGAAUCGCUGUUGAAUAUUAAUGUAAGAAAGUGAGGUGAGCUCAUCGGUGAACGUUUAGCGCAGUUUUUUUCGACGGUUCGACUGCAACAGGUAAAAUAAAUCUUGCAUCGAUACUUUUUUUCACUUUCACUGAAGAGACACGGGUGGGCGAGAGAGCGGCUUACUAAGUUCGUCAAGAUUUUAUUCGACGUCGACUGAGACGUAUUAAAUGCCAUUUAUAUUCAGUGUAUUUCACACGCUCGUGUGGUAAUGUGCCGUUCGUCGUGAAUAAAAAUCGCUUAUACGAGAAUUAGCUAACGUUACGAAACCAGCAAAUUUCUUCUCUCUAAAUUCACUUGGAAACGUUAUUUUGCAACGAAAUACACGUUUUCUAUGCUUCACCUUCGAUAAUUUACACCUUUUCCCAAUGGUACUGAAUAAUAAGAUCGAAUGAAACGAACCAGCCAGACUAAGGAUACAGUUGUACUACUUAAAGAAUACCUCGCUCAAACUAUUUUAACAUUUUAUCUAUUAAAAGUCUCCGAAAUUAAAUAAUAAAUAUCAUUUUCAGUUAUUAAAUUCCUGAAAUUUAGUAUAGAAGUAAGUAGUAUGAAUAAUAUCAUAAAUAGCAAUUCAAAUAUUCCCGCGCAAGCGUUCGUAUGCAAGUGGUGGUCCACCACAGACCUAUAUAAAGGGGACCCUCCACUCAUACAUCGUCAGUCUCCCCGCGACCACUGACGAGGUGGGAAGGGGAACCUACAGGGGAGGGGGUAUCGCCAUUUUUCGCACGAAAAUCUACUAUGCUCGAUACUGUACAACUAGUAAUUCGUUCUAUGAUAUGAUUAAAAAGAAAAGAAAAAAAAAAAACAUGCGACUCACCGAUCGUAGACAAAAAUCUGGUUACAUCGCUGCAGAGGCUGCUACCCGAAAGAACCCUCGUAGGAAAUAGUCAGGAGUCACCGGGGAGGUGAUCAACAAAAAACCAAGAUCUGUAAUAAAAUGAAAAAUUUGUUAAUUAUUUGUAAAAUUACUAAAACUAUUAAAAGACUGGUCAGACAGUAUGUUUUUUUCCUCUCAUUUGAAAAUGGUACAGAAAUCUUUUUAUUCGCUGUCCGUCUAGACAGCGUGAAACACGGUGAAAUCGCUUGAAUCGUGAACGCGAUGAAUACAAAAGAGACACCGAAAGGCAUCCGAUUAAUUUCUGUCUGUCCAAUUAAGAAGUCGUAGGGGAAACAACACGCGUAUCCCGAUGAAAAGAGCAGGUAGAUCAAACGGAAUUCACCCCGAGAAACUUAAUUUCGUGUCGAGAGGAAGAGCGUUGAAUGGGCCACCCCAUGUUAUUCGCGCCGUUCACGAAGGGAACACAAGCCGGAGGAAGGAGAAGCGUGGUUGGUCGCACAAAAGGAGCGAAAUCUUUCGGCCUCUGCCGCCGAAAGGCAGGAUGAACGGUUUCCGCGGCACCAUUAAUCUCCGAGACAAUGGCCAGGCUUCUACGAAAAACUGAACCGGACGGUACAACGAUGAAUAAAGUUACCACUAUGCUGGGUAGUUUCACCUGGCCACCCUACGCCUACGGAUAAUCCGGGCAUCGAGUGCGGAAGCACGUUUGAUCGUGCAAGCUACCAGCCGAAAUCGUCGACCGGUUGUCCUCUUGUAACGCACAGUGGUUCCCAGAAGGAAGAGCAACUUGAAUUUCGAAAAUGAUCUUUAAAAAAUAUAACGAACCAAAAUACUGUGCAUGAAUCGUAAAACGAAUUGUUUAAAAAACAUCUGCUCCGACAUGCCAUUUGGUCUACAUUUGUGUAUUUGUAUUAGAAUCUUGUAUUUUUCAUCCUCAAUGAAAAAAAAAAAAAAAAAAAAAAAAACAAAAAA